rnacentral:rRNA from 1 species
CAGUUCGGAUUGUAGUCUGCAACUCGACUACAUGAAGCUGGAAUCGCUAGUAAUCGCGAAUCAGCAUGUCGCGGUGAAUACGUUCCCGGGUCUUGUACACACCGCCCGUCACACCAUGGGAGUUGGUAACGCCCGAAGCCAGUGACCCAACCGGAAACGGAGGGAGCUGUCGAAGGUGGGACCGAUAACUGGGGUGAAGUCGUAACAAGGUAGC